GACGAACGCUGGCGGCGUGCCUAAUACAUGCAAGUCGAGCGGACCAAAGGGAGCUUGCUCCUGGAGGUCAGCGGCGAACGGGUGAGUAACACGUGGGCAACCUGCCUGUAAGACUGGGAUAACAUCGAGAAAUCGGUGCUAAUACCGGAUAAUAAAAAGAACUGCAUGGUUCUUUUUUGAAAGAUGGUUUCGGCUAUCACUUACAGAUGGGCCCGCGGCGCAUUAGCUAGUUGGUGAGGUAACGGCUCACCAAGGCAACGAUGCGUAGCCGACCUGAGAGGGUGAUCGGCCACACUGGGACUGAGACACGGCCCAGACUCCUACGGGAGGCAGCAGUAGGGAAUCUUCCGCAAUGGACGAAAGUCUGACGGAGCAACGCCGCGUGAGUGAUGAAGGUUUUCGGAUCGUAAAACUCUGUUGUUAGGGAAGAACAAGUGCCGUUCGAAAGGGCGGCACCUUGACGGUACCUAACGAGAAAGCCACGGCUAACUACGUG
rnacentral:rRNA from 1 species